AUACGUAGGGGGCGAGCGUUGUCCGGAAUGAUUGGGCGUAAAGGGCGCGUAGGCGGCCCGGUAAGUCUGGAGUGAAAGUCCUGUUUUUAAGAUGGGAAUUGCUUUGGGUACUGUCGGGCUUGAGUGCAGGAGAGGUAAGUGGAAUUCCCAGUGUAGCGGUGAAAUGCGUAGAGAUUGGGAGGAACACCAGUGGCGAAGGCGACUUACUGGACUGUAACUGACGCUGAGGCGCGAAAGUGUGGGGAGCAAACAGGAUUAGAUACCCUGGUAGUCCACGCGGUAAACGAUGAUCACUAGGUGUCGGCGGCCAUAGGCGGUCGGUGCCGCAGCAAACGCAAUAAGUGAUCCACCUGGGGAGUACGGUCGCAAGAAUGAAACUCAAAUGAAUUGGCGGGG
rnacentral:rRNA from 1 species